rnacentral:rRNA from 1 species
GAUGAACGCUGGCGGCGUGCCUAAUACAUGCAAGUAGAACGCUGAGGAGAGGAGCUUGCUCCUCUCGGAUGAGUUGCGAACGGGUGAGUACCGCGUAGGUAACCUGCCUUGUAGCGGGGGAUAACUAUUGGAAACGAUAGCUAAUACCGCAUAAAAAUGUCUGCCACAUGUCAUUUAUUCGACAGGGGCAAUUGCUCCACUACAAGAUGGUCAUGCGUUGUAUUAGCUAGUAGGUGUGGUAAUGGCUCACCUAGUCGACGAUACAUAGCCGACCUGAGAGGGUGAUCAGCCGCACGGGGAAGGGGACGAGGCGCAGACUCCGACCGGAGGCACCGGUAAGGAAUCUUCGGGAAGGGGGGGAAGGCUAACCGAGGAAAGCGGCGAGAGUGAGGAAGGGUUUCGGAGCGUAAAGCUCUGUGGUAUAUGGAGAGCGAAUUUGUUAGUGGAAAGUACACGCAGUGACGGUAUCUUACCAGAAAGGGACGGCUAACUACGUG